AGUAACGCGUGGGUAACCUGCCCUAUACACAUGGAUAACAUACUGAAAAGUUUACUAAUACAUGAUAAUAUAUAUUUACGGCAUCGUAGAUAUAUCAAAGUGUUAGCGGUAUAGGAUGGACCCGCGUCUGAUUAGCUAGUUGGUGAGAUAACUGCCCACCAAGGCGACGAUCAGUAGCCGACCUGAGAGGGUGAUCGGCCACAUUGGAACUGAGACACGGUCCAAACUCCUACGGGAGGCAGCAGUU
rnacentral:rRNA from 1 species